rnacentral:lncRNA from 1 species
AUGAAAUUUUCGUUAAAGAUUUCAUUACUUGUCGGAAAGCUCGACGCAAAGCCAUAACAGCAUCAUGUCUGGAUGACUACCGGGUUUCACAUAACCUUUUAAAUGUUGGCAAACGCGAUGGAUCCAAAAUCAUAAUAGUACAUGGAUAAUUCUAAUAUUGGAAUGGUUUUUUUUUGGGACUAAACAUCAUUCUUAUAUCUGGUGGUGAAUCGUCAAAGGGGCCAUAGGAGACUCAAUGGAAAAUUCUAAA